UUUUUAUUCGAGGCUAAAAAAAAAUGUUUAUGCAAUGAUAAAACGAGUUAAGCAUUUUUUUUUUUUUAAGUUGCCGACUCACCUGACAUUGGAACAACCC
rnacentral:sRNA from 1 species